rnacentral:rRNA from 1 species
AACGGCCAUACCAUGCUGAAUAUACCGGUUCUCGUUAGAUCACCGAAGUCAAGCAUCAUUGGGCGCGGUCAGUACUUGGGUGGGUGAACACCUGGGAACACCGUGUGCCGUU